AUUGAACGCUAGCGGGAUGCCUUACACAUGCAAGUCGAACGGAGUGGCGAACGGGUGAGUAAUGUAUCGGAACGUGCCCAGUAGCGGGGGAUAACUACGCGAAAGCGUAGCUAAUACCGCAUAAUCUUGGAGCGGCCGAUAUGGGAUUAGCUAGUUGGUGGGGUAACGGCUCACCAAGGCGACGAUCCGUCACUGGUUUGAGAGGACGACCAGCCACACUGGGACGGGGAAACGGCCCAGAGUCCUAAGGGAGGCAGCAGGGGGGAAUUGUGGACAAUGGGGGAAACCCUGAUCCAGCCAUCCGGCGUGUGAGAUGAAGGCCUUAGGGUUGUAAAGCACUUUUGGCAGGAAAGCGGUACCUGCAGAAUAAGCACCGGCUAACUACGUGCCAGCAGCCGCGGUAAUUC
rnacentral:rRNA from 1 species